UACGGAGGGGGCUAGCGUUAUUCGGAAUUACUGGGCGUAAAGCGCACGUAGGCGGACUGGAAAGUUGGGGGGUGAAAGCCCAGGGCUCAACCCUGGAACUGCCUUCAAAACUCCCAGUCUUGAGGUCGAGAGAGGUGAGUGGAAUUCCGAGUGUAGAGGAGUGAAAUUCGUAGAUAUUGGGAAGAACACCGGUGGCGAAGGCGGCUCUCUGGACCGAUACUGACGCUGAGGCGCGAAAGCGUGGGGAGCAAACAGGG
rnacentral:rRNA from 1 species